AGGGGGUUAGGUUAAGGAAGACCAAUGGCCUUCAAAGCUAUUAGUGCGGGUUCGAGUCCCGCACCCCCUG
rnacentral:tRNA from 1 species